ACACGACUACAUUAGAUACCCCUGUAGUCCCAGCCGUAAACUAUGCGCGUUAGGUGUAUCGGUGACCACGAGUUACCGAGGUGCCGAAGGGAAACCGUGAAACGUGCCGCCUGGGAAGUACGGUCGCAGGGCUGAAACUUAAAGGAAUUGGCGGGGAGCACCACAACAGGUGGAGCCUGCGGUUUAAUUGGACUCAACGCCGGGAAGCUCACCGGAUAGGACAGCAGAAUGAUUGCCGGGCUGAAGACCCUGCAUGACUAGCUG
rnacentral:rRNA from 1 species